GUACUCACAGACACAAACAGGAGUACAAACAGGUUCUCACAGACACAUACAGGUGUACACACAGGUUCUCACAGACACAUACAGGUGUACACACGGGUUCUCACAGACACAUACAGGUGUACAAACAGGUUCUCACAGACACAUACAGGUGUACAAACAGGUUCUCACAGACACAUACAGGUGUACACACAGGUUCUCACAGACACAUACAGGAGUACAAACAGGUUCUCACAGACACAUACAGGUGUACAAACAGGUUCUCACAGACACAUACAGGUGUACAAACAGGUUCUCACAGACACAUACAGGUGUACAAACAGGUUCUCACAGACACACACAGGUGUACAAACAGGAUCUCACAGACACACACAGGUGUACACACAGGUUCUCACAGACACACACAGGUGUACACACAGGUUCUCACAGACACACACAGGUGUACACACAGGUUCUCACAGACACACACAGGUGUACACACAGGUUCUCACAGACACACACUGUCUUGAUCGGCUGUUGCUCCUUAACAUGCUCAUUGUGAUUCGUACAGAUGUUGGUUGUUGUUUUCUCUC